rnacentral:rRNA from 1 species
UACGAAGGGGGCUAGCGUUGCUCGGAAUUACUGGGCGUAAAGGGUACGUAGGCGGCUUCUUAAGUCGGUGGUGAAAUCCUGGAGCUCAACUCCAGAACUGCCUUCGAUACUGGGAAGCUCGAGUCCGGGAGAGGUGAGUGGAACUGCGAGUGUAGAGGUGAAAUUCGUAGAUAUUCGCAAGAACACCAGUGGCGAAGACGGCUCACUGGCCCGGAACUGACGCUGAGGUGCGAAAGCCAGGGGAGCAAACAGG